rnacentral:misc_RNA from 1 species
CCGCCUUCUUCACCUCCACGCG